CAGUCGAGCGGACAGAUGGGAGCUUGCUCCCUGAUGUUAGCGGCGGACGGGUGAGUAACACGUGGGUAACCUGCCUGUAAGACUGGGAUAACUCCGGGAAACCGGGGCUAAUACCGGAUGGUUGUUUGAACCGCAUGGUUCAGACAUAAAAGGUGGCUUCGGCUACCACUUACAGAUGGACCCGCGGCGCAUUAGCUAGUUGGUGAGGUAACGGCUCACCAAGGCAACGAUGCGUAGCCGACCUGAGAGGGUGAUCGGCCACACUGGGACUGAGACACGGCCCAGACUCCUACGGGAGGCAGCAGUAGGGAAUCUUCCGCAAUGGACGAAAGUCUGACGGAGCAACGCCGCGUGAGUGAUGAAGGUUUUCGGAUCGUAAAGCUCUGUUGUUAGGGAAGAACAAGUGCCGUUCAAAUAGGGCGGCACCUUGACGGUACCUAACCAGAAAGCCACGGCUAACUACGUGCCAGCAGCCGCGGUAAUACGUAGGUGGCAAGCGUUGUCCGGAAUUAUUGGGCGUAAAGGGCUCGCAGGCGGUUUCUUAAGUCUGAUGUGAAAGCCCCCGGCUCAACCGGGGAGGGUCAUUGGAAACUGGGGAACUUGAGUGCAGAAGAGGAGAGUGGAAUUCCACGUGUAGCGGUGAAAUGCGUAGAGAUGUGGAGGAACACCAGUGGCGAAGGCGACUCUCUGGUCUGUAACUGACGCUGAGGAGCGAAAGCGUGGGGAGCGAACAGGAUUACAUACCCUGGU
rnacentral:rRNA from 1 species